rnacentral:tRNA from 1 species
GGUCCCCUGGCUCAACCUGGUAGAGCAGCGAGCUUUUAACUCGCGGGUUCCGGGUUCGAAUCCCGGGGGGAUCG